AUGAGGGAUGGUCCUAGAAAUAGAAUAGUUGUAAUUGCGUUUAUGGCAAUAAUAUUUGCAUAUUCUGCUAGAAAGAAUAUAGCGAAGGGGCCGGCGGCGUAUUCUACAUUAAAACCAGAUACUAGUUCGGAUUCUCCUUCAGUUAAAUCAAAUGGUGCUCGAUUUGUUUCUGCUAGUGUAGAGAUAUAUCAUAUUAUAGCUAGAGGUCAUGUUGUAAUGAUAAGUCAGAAGUUUUCUUGGGUGACUGAUAUUGUUUUUAAUGUGAAGGAUCCGUUGAUUAAUAUAAUAGAUAGGAGAAUAAUAGCCAGGGAGACUUCAUACGAGAUAUUCUUAAUUUACUACUAAAUCCUCCUUCAUGUCUUUAUUUCAGUUGACAAUUCGUUAUGCUCUAGUAUAGAAAAUGUAGCCCAUUACUUCCCCCUUCAUAUGUUACACCUUGACCUAACGUUUUUAUGAUUUGAUGAUUUUGCUCACUUUGGGCCCCUAUUGGGGUGAGCUGACGAUGGCGGUAUAUAGACUGUUGAGCGAGAAGGGGUGAGGUAUAUCGGGGUUUAUCGAUUAUAGAACAGGCUCCUCUAGGAGGGUCUAGGGCACCGCCAAGUCCUUUGAGUUUUAAGCGGUUGCUAGUAGUUCUCUGGCGAGUAAUUUUGUUAUUUAAUUACCUAGGUUUACGGCCAAGCAUAGUGGGGUCUCUAAUCCCAGUUUGUACCUUAGCUUUAGUGUCUUCAGCAUUAGUAAAGUCACGUAAGUUGUGUAUUUUAGUAUCAACUAGGGCGUAUUACAGCAUAAUUGAAUUUUAGCUUUAUUUGUUUGGUUGCGUGCUUAAACACCCUUUACGCCGUGUUUCUGUUAAUUUGGGUUAAUCGUAUGACCGCGGUGGCUGGCACGAGAUUUACCAACCCUUAUUUAUUAUGAUUUAGUCAAACUUUCGUUUAUAGCUCAAUAUUAGUCACUGCUGUAACCCGUGGGGGUGUGGUUAAACAAGGUGUCAUGGGCUGCUGUUUUAGUGUGCCUGAUACCAGCUCCUUUAUACUUUAAUGGAAUUAAAAGGGCAUACUCACUGGGUUGCGGAAACUUGCAUGUGUAGGUCUAAUAAAAAUUAACAGUAAGGCCAGGACCAAGCCUCUGUGCUUGUGGAACUGAUUAAAGUCCAUCUAAGCAUUUUCAGUGCUUUGCUUUGCGUUAAGCUACACAAACAGUGAGUUAUGAAUUUUAAAAUUUAUCAGAAAUUUUUGAAAAUUUUAAGUUUGUAUACUAUGUCAGUAUUAAAUUUAUUUUAGGUUUUUUUCGUUUUUUUUUUUAUAAAAUUAAAAUUUGGAAUAGAAAACGGUUGUAUGUGUGAUUUAUAGAAUAUUGGGAGGUAUUGUUGAAGAAUUUAUAUAAGUAGAAGUUUGACAAUGAGUAGUGGCGGGUUAGAUUUAGUUAGGCCUAGUUGUUACUUGUGUGUUUUUAAAGCCUAUUUCUCCGAGGUAUUUAGUUACCAUACUAGAGGACUAUCAUCCGGUUUUGGGGUUUGACGGAAGCGAUAAAAUUUAGUAAGGGGGGUAGGGGGGUUUAGUGGUAGAAAACUUUUAUAAAUAUAUUUGUACUUGUUGUUGUUUUAAACACACACGCACACACACACGCAACACAUACACAUACGCACACAUACACAUACGCACACACAUACACAUACACAUACGCACACAUACACAUACACAUACACACACAUACACACACACAUAUAUAUACACACGCCCACCUAUACAAAAACUCCUCUGACUGUACUAUUUUAGUCGAAAGUGAAAUAUUGCGGGGGGGGCGGGGGAAAUAUAAACUCACUUAGAAGGAGUAUAUAUAGAAGAGGGCACAAGUGUGAGUUGAAUGUUAAAUGAUAUUACCUAAAAAAACAAUGGUUUAGAAAGAAAUGUAUUGAAGAA
rnacentral:lncRNA from 1 species